CCACUGCUCUGUGACCCCGGAGCCUUCCUGGAGGGGGGUAUUAACGGACAGAUCUGGGGCUGCGGUGGGAUGCCAGUGUCUGAGAACCGGUGGACAGCUUCACAUACUUCCUCCAGGAGCAGAUCCGAGGCCCAGGAUACUUGUGAAUUAGCGGUGAUUAACUGUCUUUGGCCUCAGGGUCAACGUUUUCCAAAAUUCAAUUUCGAGCUCUUAAAUUAAUGCUCUUUCUUUCUUAAGAAAAAAAAAAUCUUUACUAGCUGAAGUUUCAGCCUCUGAAUUAGAUAUUUCUGGUUUUCUUUACCCUGUGGCAGUCAAAAGUCUAUUUUAAAAGGGUAUAGGAACAGAAUGGGGGGGUGGGGGGAGAAAGACCUAAUUCCUGAAAUGCUUUAUGAACACUGGGUCCUAUGUCAUCCCACUGAACCUGGCCUUGAGAAUUUCAGGCGGUUAUGAUAAAUGCUUUACGUUACAGUUUCACUUUGGGGGCACGAACCGGCGAUAGCGCUCGGCCUCCUUCCGUGUCUCCUGUGCCGUCGGGUUAAUUGCCGGUAGCACCUGUUGGGGCAAGUCUGUGCCAGAUUGGCGGCCACGCUUUUCUUGGAGAGGACUGUGGUGUGUAAACGGAAGAGGAUGUGCUCAUCAGGACAGAGCCUCCUGGUAGAAAAGGGUCCGGGUUGAAAGCAAAGCAGAUGCACAGGAGCUGGUUUCGCAUCAAGGAUGAAACUACCCAUGAAGUCGCACUAAUCUUGCAUCUCCGGUCUUUCUUUCUAACCUGUGGAGAAGCGCACUCCCACCCCAUCCUACUGGCACCUGUUGACAGCCCUUUGUGGUGGAUAAGACCUCACUUCCCUCGCCGAGAAGACAGAAGGCCGAGGUCAGAGCGAGGCCGGGGAAGAGACACGUGCGCUGCCUCCGUGUGAGCCCGGUGCCCAUGGCCCGGGAGUGGGCCCGGACCCACCGCCGCCCCCGCAGCUGCGAAGACCAAGGCCAGGAUGAGUGACCUGCCCGGCGCCCCCCGCUCGCCCGACACCAGAUUCUGAGCCGGCCCUCUGGACUCUAGCCCGGUGUGCUGUUUCUCCGUGGCCACGUGCGCCGACAGGGUUCCAGUCCCCCUCCUUCCUCCCAGGAUGUGAAACGGGCAGAAAAAUAAAGCAUCGCCUUUCCGCAC
rnacentral:lncRNA from 1 species